rnacentral:rRNA from 1 species
CCCUGGUAGUCCACGCCGUAAACGAUGAAUGCCAGCCGUUAGUGGGUUUACUCACUAGUGGCGCAGCUAACGCUUUAAGCAUUCCGCCUUGGGAGUACGGUCGGCAGAUUAAACUCAAAGGAAUUGACGGGGGCCCGCACAAGCGGUGGAGCAUGUGGUUUAAUUCGACGCAACGCGCAGAACCUUACCAGCCCUUGACAUGUCCAGGACCGGUCGCAGAGAUGUGGCCCUCUCUUCGGAGCCUGGAGCACAGGUGCUGCAUGGCUGUCGUCAGCUCGUGUCGUGAGAUGUUGGGUUAAGUCCCGCAACGAGCGCAACCCCCGUCCUUAGUUGCUACCAUUUAGUUGAGCACUCUAAGGAGACUGCCGGUGAUAAGCCGCGAGGAAGGUGGGGAUGACGUCAAGUCCUCAUGGCCCUUACGGGCUGGGCUACACACGUGCUACAAUGGCGGUGACAAUGGAGAUGCUAAGGGGCGACCCUUCGCAAAUCUCAAAAAGCCGUCUCAGUUCGGAUUGGGCUCUGCAACUCGAGCCCA